rnacentral:rRNA from 1 species
GACGAACGCUGGCGGCGUGCUUAACACAUGCAAGUCGAACGGAAAGGCCCUGCUUGCAGGGUGCUCGAGUGGCGAACGGGUGAGUAACACGUGGGUGAUCUGCCCCUUACUUUGGGAUAAGCCUGGGAAACUGGGUCUAAUACUGGAUAGGACCAUGCUGUAGGUGGUGUGGUUGAAAGAUUAGUUUCGGUUAGGGGUGAGCUCGCGGCCUAUCAGCUUGUUGGUGGGGUAAUGGCCUACCAAGGCGUCGACGGGUAGCCGGCCUGAGAGGGUGGACGGCAACAUUGGGACUGAGAGACGGGCCAGAAUCCGGCGGGAGGCAGCAGUGGGGAAUAUUGCACAAUGGGCGCAAGCCGGAUGCAGCGACGCCGCGGGGGGGAUGACGGCCUUCGGGUUGUAAACAACUUGCAGCCAUGACGAAGCCCUUGUGGUGACGGUAGUGGUAGAAGAAGCACCGGCUAACUACGUG